rnacentral:rRNA from 1 species
ACGGGUGAGUAAUAUAUCGGAACGUACCCAGGAGUGGGGGAUAACGUAGCGAAAGUUACGCUAAUACCGCAUACGAUCCACGGAUGAAAUGCAGGGGACCUUCGGGCCUUGCGCUCCUGGAGCGGCCGAUAUCUGAUUAGCUAGUAGGUAGGGUAAAGGCCUACCUAGGCGACGAUCAGUAGCUGGUCUGAGAGGACGACCAGCCACACUGGAACUGAGACACGGUCCAGACUCCUACGGGAGGCAGCAGUGGGGGAAUUUUGGACAAUUGGGCGCAAGCCUGAUCCAGCAAUGCCGCGUGAGUGAAGAAGGCCUUCGGGUUGUAAAGCUCUUUUUGUCAGGGAACGAAAAGGCCGUGGCUAAUAUCCAUGGUUCAUGACCGGUACCUGAAGAAUAAGCACCGGCUAACUACGUGCCAGCCGCCGCGG